rnacentral:lncRNA from 1 species
UAAGUUUGGGGUUGGGGUACUAUAGAAAAUUGGUCAAAAAUUAAAAAACAAUUAUGAGAAAAUAAGAAGUGAAAAAAGAUACUUCUUAAAAAAAAGAGAAAAUAAAAAUAAUGUAAGCAUAAUAAAGACCAAAGAUCUCUAGUACAACCAAAAAGAACAAAGGGAUAUUAUGAUAGAAGGAGAACUUGACACCUAACUCUAAAAGUU